rnacentral:rRNA from 1 species
GACGAACGCUGGCGGCGUGCCUAACACAUGCAAGUCGAGCGGUUCAGAUUUGGCAGCAAUGUUGGAUCUGGAUAGCGGCGGACGGGUGAGUAACGCGUGGGCAACCUGCCUUUCACAGGGGGAUAACACAGGGAAACUUGUGCUAAUACCGCAUAACAUCAUGAGAGGGCAUCCUUUUAUGAUCAAAGGAGCAAUCCGGUGAAAGAUGGGCCCGCGUCCGAUUAGCUAGUUGGUGGUGUAACGGACCACCAAGGCGACGAUCGGUAGCCGAACUGAGAGGUUGAUCGGCCACAUUGGGACUGAGACACGGCCCAGACUCCUACGGGAGGCAGCAGUCGAGAAUAGUCUACAAUGGCCGGAAGGCUGAUAGUGCGACGCCGCGUGAACGAGGGAGCCCUUCGGGUGUAAAGUUCUUUUCUAUACGAGCAGUGCUAUAUAUAUGGAUAGUAUAUAUAGAGGGAUAGUAGUAUAGGAAUAAGCAAC